rnacentral:rRNA from 1 species
GUAGGUGGCAAGCGUUGUCCGGAAUUAUUGGGCGUAAAGCGCGCGCAGGCGGCCGUGCAAGUCCAUCUUAAAAGCGUGGGGCUUAACCCCAUGGGGGGAUGGAAACUGCAGGGCUGGAGUGUCGGAGGGGAAAGUGGAAUUCCUAGUGUAGCGGUGAAAUGCGUAGAGAUUAGGAAGAACACCGGUGGCGAAGGCGACUUUCUAGACGACAACUGACGCUGAGGCGCGAAAGCGUGGGGAGCAAACAGGAUUAGAUACCCUGGUAGUCCACGCCGUAAACGAUGGAUACUAGGUGUAGGAGGUAUCGACCCCUUCUGUGCCGGAGUUAACGCAAUAAGUAUCCCGCCUGGGAAGU